CGCGGCCUAUCAGCUUGUUGGUGGGGUAAUGGCCUACCAAGGCGACGACGGGUAGCCGGCCUGAGAGGGCGACCGGCCACACUGGGACUGAGACACGGCCCAGACUCCUACGGGAGGCAGCAGUGGGGAAUAUUGCACAAUGGGCGCAAGCCUGAUGCAGCGACGCCGCGUGAGGGAUGACGGCCUUCGGGUUGUAAACCUCUUUCACCAGGGACGAAGCGAAAGUGACGGUACCUGGAGAAGAAGCACCGGCCAACUACGUGCCAGCAGCCGCGGUAAUACGUAGGGUGCGAGCGUUGUCCGGAAUUACUGGGCGUAAAGAGUUCGUAGGCGGUUUGUCGCGUCGUUCGUGAAAACUUGGGGCUUAACUCCAAGCGUGCGGGCGAUACGGGCAGACUUGAGUACUACAGGGGAGACUGGAAUUCCUGGUGUAGCGGUGAAAUGCGCAGAUAUCAGGAGGAACACCGGUGGCGAAGGCGGGUCUCUGGGUAGUAACUGACGCUGAGGAACGAAAGCGUGGGUAGCGAACAGGAUUAGAUACCCUGGUAGUCCACGCCGUAAACGGUGGGUACUAGGUGUGGGUUCCUUUUCACGGGAUCCGUACCCUCUGGGUGCCGGCGCUAACGGAAGCCUGGGGAGUACGG
rnacentral:rRNA from 1 species